UAUAGUACUAUGGCAUAGACAUGAAAAGGGAUAAUGAAAGAAAUCAUGAACCAAGGAACUGGAGCUUGAUCCUUGUUUUCCUUGGUUCAAAUGUGAAUGUUGCCUUCCAUUCCCAUAAGGCAUUGGGAGUUUAGCUCCCAUCCUGAUAAUGUAGUACCCAUUGGGUUUCCUCUCUUUUUCCCUCUUCCUUUCUGUAUCCUUCUUUACCCAUCCUAAUACAGGUGGAGUUGUGGACAGGGACAAACAUGUAAGUCUGUGAGAGGCAGCAUAUCAGGGAGUGGAAUAAGCCUGCAAACAUGUCCCCUACUGGUUCCCCAGUGGGUUACCCUUGGGGGUUUCCUCAAAGGGGGGUAGACCUCUCACCUACCUUGAGGGUCUAGUAAGUGGCUGGUGGGGGGGAAGAGUCUUCACCCGACAGGCCUGACUGACACACUCUUCAUAAUGCUCGGGGAUGACCCACUUUAUGUUAGCAGACAAGCAGCAGCAGCACAGCGAUCCUCACAGCAUGUAAGACUGGUGGAUCUUAUUGGGCAACCAGAAGAUCACUAACAGCCUGUAAUCAUCCUGCCAUCUUAACCAUCCUAAGUCAUUCUGUAUACCUUACCUCUGAUCAACCUGUAAUCCUACCUGCUUACACAUCCUAAGUCAUUCCAUAUAUUUUCCCUCUGAUCUCUUCCUCAUAUUCUCUUGCCCUCAUCUCUUCCUCUCUCCUUAUCAACUCUCACCCUCAUUUUUUCCCUGUGAGCAGUAAAAUUUGAAGUUUUUUGAGAGAAAUGCUGUGAAUAGACUUUUGUGAUUAAAUUCUAAUUUUCAUUACAGGAUUGUAUGGACAAGAAGUGAGGAUCCAAAGAGGUGACUGCAUAGUAAAAUAAAAACUUCAGUGCAUAGUCAAAAACAAAGAGUUUCCUGCAGAGUUUUGUGCUUCUCCAUGCUGUUCCCAUUAUUUUAAUACUAUAGAAGAGGCCAAAGAAGCUCCAGCAGUCAAAAGUGCCAUUCUACCAAGAUAUUAUCAUCAGUACUACCAACCCGCUAUCUGGAAGUCGAAGCACACCUGUUGUGCAUUCCACAGUGUACUGCACAUGUGUGCUUUGUUGCACAAUCUCUACAUAUCAGACCCCAUCCUGCAGUAUUCUCCAACCACAGCCCUACCCUGCAAUAUGCUCCAACCACAGCCCUACCCUGGAGUAUUCUCCAACCACAGCCCUACCCUGGAGUAUUCUCCAACCACAGCCCCAGCGUACAGUAUUCUUCACCAGCUUGCCUUUCUUAUAUGUCGACGUCCGAGAGUCGGCGAUCGGGGAAGCAUUACUACAAGCGUCUGAAAGGCAGUGUUUGCAGCCUAUAGCAUAUUAGUGAGCCAAGUAUUGGACCCAUCGAUGGGCCUGCUCCACCAUCGAAAAGGAAGUCCUAGUUAGCCCUGAUACUUGUGCUGGAGCAUUUGAUUUUUUUUUUUUUUUGGGGGGGGGGCAGUCAUCUUGUGUGGUUGCCAUCUACAGUGAUCACAACCCUCUCACCCGUACGAGUGCCACGAAGAAUCACAACGACCAACGAGGUAGUCUCAGGCCGCAACCACACGAUCCUCCGAGACCUUGCCUCUCGAGCGAGAGAGCACGGCCACUAGUGCUCUGGUGGUUGAAUAUUGGGAGAACACUCGAGCGUCGUGCCAUUUUAAUGGGUAGGUCCUUCGGCAGGCGAGUCGUCACGCACUCUCCAUCAGACUCCAACUUCCACAGUCACCGAUUUGAGGUAUCCACUCUCAGGGGUACCGAGGGCUCAUCGUUCCCUCUCGAGAACUCUGAUACUUUCGGAGCACAACCUCGGGCCAGACUCGUCUGGUGCUUGUCCGGUUAACGAGGCUGUUGCUGCUGGAGGCCCACUGUCCGACAGCCUGGUUGUUAUAGGACCUAGUGAAGAUGAUACUUGUCCAAUUUUGUGUUGAAGACUUGUAGACCUGUUCUGGCAGUGGUAAGAGGUUGAAUAGUCUUGUUGAUACUACAGUGUUGCCUUAAAUGUUUUACUGGCUCUAUGUGGGCUAUAAACGAUCUCUCUAUUUGUUCAAGGCCAUAUAUUUCUCGUGCUUUGAACGGGGCCGUCAGUACUGGCCACUAGUGAUUUGAAGUGUCACCAUUGUUAUUGUUUCCCUUGUUUUGAAAGGUCUUAAUACCCACCCCAUCAUCCUUCUCCUCCUCCUCCGGGCUGUUGUUAUCUACUGCGGCCAGCAGUAACAGCCCGGUCUGAGACUGGGCCUUAGGGGGCGUUGACCCUUGAAACCCUCUGCAGAUAUGUUGCUAUUGUUAGUAAGGUAACUAACUUAAUUAUUUCCAAGUCUUUGACCUGUUGUUUUUGUUCUAUUUGGUGAUCCUCUUGAGUUUUUUGUUCUUUCUAUACCUAAGCAGCAGGAACUUACCACCAUUGAAUGUUAUAUUGUUGUUUUUCACUGUAAUUUUUCAGUGACUAUCAUUCUUAUUUUAGUGUCAUUUGCAAAGGAAACAAAACUAUGCCGGGUGUUUUUAUGUAUGCUAUGAGGAUGAGAAACAGCAGAGGUACCAGAACAGUAAUUUGGGGAAUUGAGUUUUUUACCUUGUUGUUGCUGUUUACUGUGUUGUGUGUUAGGAACUUGAAAAUCCACCUUCUUACCUUCCUUGUAGUGCCUGUGGCCCUCUAUUUUGUGAACUAUUACUCCAUGAUGACAUUUGUGAAGAAACACUUUUGCAAAAUCUGUGCAUAUCACAUUUGCACUUUGGUCAUCUUGUAACAUGUUUGUGAUUCUGUCAUAGUGGUUCAGGAGCUGUGACAGGUAUGAUUGUCCUGCUCAAACACCAGUGGUGUGGGUUAUGCCGGUCCAAGAAAUUUGUAAUCUGCUGUCUCAUCACUUUUUUGAAUAUUUUUUUGAUGUAAUAUUUAGCUAGUGAUGUAUUACUUGCCUUAUGCGAAGGAGCUGUCUGCGCUCUUUAAGGUCUGUGGUAUUUCACCUAGAUGUAGGCUCUUUCUCCAAAGAAUACCGAGGGCUCAUGCUUGUGGUACCUUGCAUUUGUUUAUAAAUAGAGGAUUCCCUGAAUCUUGUCCAGGUGCUGAGUGGGCAUUUUUUUUUUUUAAUCUAUGGGAUUUGUACUAAUAUCAGUUGGUGUGUGCAGCCUUGUGAUGGAGUGAAAAAUGUUUCUUGCUGUCAUUUACUGGGUUGCUGAACACCGACUGAUAUUGUUCUCUUAGAAUUUCACUCAUUUUCUGUUCAUCGUCCGUAUACGAGUCUCGUCGAUUACGGUCGAAUUCUAUAGGCAAUUGUUUGAUUUUGCAUACUAGUAGAAAUAUUUUGGGCAUCUCGCAAUAUGGCCUUUUGUUGUUUUUGUACUCGGGUGCGAUAUCCCAAGUUGUUUUCUAUUGUACCAUCUCGUACGCUGUAUCUGAUCUGGGUUUCCUCAACGGUACGUGUUUAAUACAGACCUAGUAUUGAGCUUGUCCGGGCACUGGUGAGGAUUUAGUGCAUUCGUGUCUGAUAGUUCUUGGUUUAUUUUUUUUCCAGUUAUUUCUAUGGUUGUUGAAAUUGAACUUGCUCAAGAUAUUGCAGUUCCCACACCCUGAGUUAAUACUUGUUUGUUAUGCUCAGAGUAUAUUGUUAUUGUAAUUGUCUUUGAUUAGUUUUUUGUUUGUGAAUAUCAAAUCCAUUUCUGGUGGGAUUGUUUAUCUGUUGGUUCAAUGUGUACUUUUCACAAAGCUUCAGUUUGUGCCUGUUGAGCCAGGGUGCUUUUCCCUGAGAUAUUUCAGGUAUAACAUUGUGUUGUGCCAUUUUACACGAGGGAGAUUAAAAUAGCCAGAUAGCAGUUGCUGGCAGUGGUUUAUAUAAUAAGAUAAUUCAUACUAUGGAAUAAAUACUUUUCUCCAGGCUGAGGGACUGACCCCCUCAAAACUACAGAGGCCAAACAUUUUGGAAUAAAGAUAGUAUCUAACUUUUGCAUAUGUGUCUGUCUUACUUAGCAACCUGGGCUAUUCAGGUUGGCUAACCUUUCUAUCCCCGAGUAACCCUACCCUGGUUGUGGGCAUUCCUUAAAUUUUCCAAUCUACCCGCGGAGCAGCGGAUGCGGAGGUAGAGACGACAUCGGAAAUGCGUCCGGCAGUGUCUCGCGCGGGCGAGUCAGAGAUGACUGCCGUGACGAACUCUAGAGAAUAUCUGCCGAGUCGGAGAGGAUUGUUCCUCGAGGAACUGGCGUGGGUCACAUCCUGGGCAUUAGUGGAGUGGUGUGGGUAACAUCCUUGUCAGAUAAUCAAAUGGAGCAGCACUCGAAGAGCCUCCCGGAAUGAAUUAAGGUCGUACGUUUAUUUAUUUAUUUAUUUAUUAAUUUGAACAUGAUACAGAGAAGUACAAAAGAAUACAGUUAAAUGCAGCAUGCCAAAGCCACUUGAAUGCAUAGCAUUACGGGCAGGCUUAAAAUUAACUUAAGAUUAACUAAGCAAUGAAGUAUUCAGUGGUAAAACAUUAUUGUAAACAGAUAACAAUUAAGCACAAAUGAGUAUUACAAAAACAGGUCGUAUGGUUGCAUGCAAUGCUGUACAAUCAGUAUUUAUUUAUUUAUUUAUGGGCAGCUUAAAAUUAAUUUAAGAUUAACUGAGCAAUGAUAUAUUCAGUGGUACAAAAAUUAUUGUAAAACAGAUAACAAUUUAGUACAAAUGAGUAUUACAAAGACAGGUUAUAUGGUCAUUUACUGUGUUGCUGUGUAAUCAGUAGAAUGGAGUAUUCUGUUAGGUAAUGAAGUUAAAUAGUAACAAAGUUUGAUUGGGUCACAGGUUGACAUUUAUGAGAUAAAAUAAUGGGAUACAUAUAUAAGAUACAAUUUAUGAGAUACAAUUAUUCAGUAUUUAUUUAGUUGUGGGUGAGUAAGUGAUUUUUGAGAAGAGACUUGAAUUUAUAAACAGAUAAUGUUUCUUUUAUAUUCACAGGUAAUGAAUUCAAGAUUUUAGGGCCUUUUAUGUGCAUUGAGUUUUUGCAUAGCGUGCGAUGGACACGAGGAACAUCAAAGAGUGAUCUGUGCCUUGUGUUAUGGUCAUGUGUUCUGUUGAGGUUGGUAAGGAGAUGUUUGAGGGGAGGGUUUAUGUCAGAGUUAAGUGUUCUAUGUAUGUAGUAGGUGCAGUAAUAAGUAUGGAUGUUUUGAAUUGUGAGUAGGUUUAGAGUUUUGAAUAUUGGUGGAGUGUGUUGUCUGUAGUGGGAAUUUUUUAUCAUUCUGAUUACAGCCUUUUGUUGGGUGAUUAGUGGUCUGAGAUGUUUUAUUAUUGCUGAAGUUGCAUCGUACGCGUACGAGUGUCGCGUCGACGACUAUCGAAUACUCGUGUUGGAAGCCACUGGAUUUGACCUCUCGACUUGUUCCAGGACAAGAGCUGGUGAGAAAACUUGAGACAAUUUGGUGCUACAGCCUUUAUGAAAUUGUACCUGAUGGUUGGAACACUUUAGUCUUUACGGAAAUUGAAGUACACGAGUUUUGCAGCCUCAACGAAGUUUUACGCGACUCUGGAAACACUCGAGUCUUGCUGAAACUGGUUGUAGGAGGAGUCUUGCAUAGCAAGUUGCACAUGCAGUAACCUUUUCUUGUGAGCUGACCCCUUACAGGAAACAUUUAUCCGUGUGUUAGGCAUCUUUGUGGGAUAUGUUUGCUUUAGUAAUAGGUGCUAUGUGGUGACUAGUAUAACGUAAGUUUAUAUUAUUUUGUUUAAUUAAUUUGUGUGCAUGUAAUGUAUUUAUUACAUCCCUAAGCAAACACUAUUAUGAUGAUUUGGCACUUGUAGAUUCAUUAAAGAAAACCUCCUGUAUUCUUACUGAAAUGUGGCUUAAGACACAAUAGACAUUUGCAGUAUCAUGUAGCAACACUAUAUGUAUCAGUGAUGAAUAUGGUGAAUAGUAUAUAUUUGCAAAUUUGUCUGUAAAAAAAAAAAUCCUAUAGCUGUUGAGGUCAUAUACAGGAUGUCUCGUACUAAUAUAUCAGCUUUUAGUGCUAAGCUAAGAACACUGAUUACAGGUACACAAUUGAAUAAGCACCAACCAAUAGCAGGAGACUUUAACAAGUUUGGCCUAACAAACAGAUGACCAACCUGUGUCUGACUUGAUUAACAAUACACUAUAUUGUAAACAAAAUGCAUAGAGUACAUAACAAAUGUUUUAUCCCAUAAAAACUAAACAGAUGACUAACAAAAGAGUAAGUAAGUUGCCCAUGGCUUACUAAGAGCAUCGCUAGAUCCAUCACGAAAGACAAUACAGAAGGGGCUCAAAGAGUUUAUCAAACAGCGUAGUACGUCGGUCCUCACCAAAUUACUCGGUCUAAGCAGCCGUACUAUUGCAAUUCACCGAAAGGCGAGGAGAUAGAUAUUAAAAAGAUGUGGAAGAUACGCGAUGAGAUCGUGGGUACCCUCAAACCAAACAGAGCUAGUGUUAUUGUACUAAUUAAGCCAAAUGAACUGAAACUUGAGCCUAUUGAUACAGCUAACAAUAUAAAUGAUUUGUUUCCAACUAUAAGAUGAAAUCUCUGUAGUAAAAUUCCAAUUAGCAAUGCCUGAUGUUAUGAUUAUCUAGAUGGAAAGUUGCCAAUAUCCCUUUAUCUUACAUGAACAGAUCUUACUGAGGUUACCAUGUUUAUUAGCUAAAAAAAAUAGGGAAAUGUAACCAGUAGUGUGCAAAUGAGUGACUUGAAUCUUUUCACCCAUCAUUGUAUUACUCUUGAACAAACCAGAAUAUUGACAUGAUAUAUGAUUGUACAGAGGAAUAUAAUAGUUGGGUAUACAUGGCAACAGCUCCUUUAGUAUGCAGAGCAAAACUUGAAAAUUGUUAACUUAAUAAGAUUGGGAAAGCAAUAAUGGUUCAUUAUGGUCAUUAGAUACAUUAAAUUGGGUACAAGAGAAUUGAAUUUUGUUAGGUAAUGCUACAUGGCUUUGAUAAGUCUAGUAGAGAAUAAUUGCAUUAUGGUCUGGUAUUUGUGAAUGGGGCUCAAGACAGAAAUUACUUUAAGCCUUUAAUAACCCAGAAAAAAGGUGUGGGGCAAUUGAUUACUACUACUAAUUUGUGCAUUAGACAACACACACUACUUGUUUUCAAGAGUCUUAACUUGCUAAAUAUACAAAGCGUCCACAAUUAUUGUCUGCUGCCUACCCAGAGCACUAUAUUGUGAUGUAAAUCCUUGUCUUGCUCAAAGUCCUCCUCGAUGACUAUAACAGAACACAACCAUAAUACGAGACACAGAUCACCCUUCGAUAUCCCUAGUGUUCAUUUGUCCCCGUGCCAAAAUGUUUGUUUGUCGUGCACGUAAAAGGCCCACAGACGUGGAAUUCGUAGCCGGAACACGGCAGAGGAUCACCGUCUGGUAACGAGUUUAAGGCCCAAAUAAGAAAACACGUUAUAACUGAAAAUGAACCAGACAAACCAUACCUAAUCACUAGCAGUUUCUCAAAAGCUACUCAUAUUGUGCUGAUGAAUGCUCAACCACUUGGUACUGCGAAAUUAGCAUGUUUAUUUUUCUAUUAUUGUAAAUAGUAGAAUGUAAUACAGUAUACCAUAAUGUAAAUUGUUCCACAGUAAUACAGAAUUUUAUUGUUUUAAAUACGUAGUACUAAAGUGUAAUUCAUGAUUGUAAAUUGUUCCAUUGUAAUAAUGUAAUCUUUAUUAAGUAACUGAAUAGUGUCACAAGUCUCUACUAGAUUUAUCCAAAGCGUGUAGCAUUACCUGACAAUAUGCAGUUGUACUUUACUGACUGUAACUCUUGUAAUGAGUAUAUGAAGUGUGUAUUAUUGUCUUAGUAAUAUUAAGUUAAUUUCUAAGUUUGCCUGAAAUGGUCUUGUGCAUACAAAUGGGAUUUUGGCAUGUAUGUGUUUGUACAUCAGUGUAAUUUGUCAAAAUAAACAUGUUUAUCUUUGCAAUAGAAGAAUUGAAAACAGUUUACAGUAUGAUGUAGAUAUUACAAUUUAGUAGUGUUGAAAACAAUGAAAUUUAGGCAAUUAUCUAAUAUUGUAGUAGGUAAGUGGUUGAGCAAUCCUCAGGACAAUGGGAGUAGCAGCAGCAGCAGCUUUUGAGUAACUGGUGGGUAUUAGGUAUGGUUUGUGUGGUUAAUUUUGGGUGAUGAUGUGAUUUUUUAGUAUGGCCUGAAACUGACUGGUAGACAGGGGUCGUUUAUUUUAUUAACACGCUGGCCGAUUCCCAGCAAGGCAGGGUGGCUCGAAGAAGAAAAAGUUUAAUCAUCAUCGACUGGAUGAAUGUCUUGCAGGAGCGGUGCUUUACACUACAGUUUAUAAAACUGUGACAUUAAUUAAGGGAGGGGUGAGUUUUUUCAGUGAUCAGGACAUUAAAAUUGAAAGAAUAUGGAAAAUGAUGUUUUGCUAGUGAAAAAUGUUGCCAACAUUUUGAUGUAAUCAGCUUGUUUGUAUGAUAUUUCUAAGCAUGUUUUUCAUUAAAUGUAUUUUUUUUGUUUUUGCCAUCAACAAAAAUACAUGUUUGCAAAUAUCAAUUUCUUGUUUGUUCUUCCGAAAAUUACGAUUUCUAUGAUUAUUUCAUUGUAAAUAUUGUACAUGGCAACUUGUGUGCAGAUAGCAGACAGACAGACAGACAGACAUAGAGUGAGUCUGUUAGUAGGUGGGAGGCUGUAAAGAAGGUUGGAGGGGUGUAGCACACACAGUUGGUGUGCCACUUGCUUAGAGUAAAAAAAAAAAAACUGGGUAAUAAAUUAUUGACAUUGUAAUUCAUCUUGAGUGGUAAGUAUUCAUUGGAUUGCCAUGACCUUUCUUUCAGAUGUUAUUGAGGAAUGAUGGUUCUACAAACAACCUGAGAGGAUUUGCGAUAUUGUUAAGAUUUUUUUAAUGAAUUUUUCCUCUUACCUCCAAGAAAGAACAACUUGAACAUUAUUUUUUUUAUGGAAUGUACUGAUAUUGUUGGUAAACUGUCCUGGGUUGUUAAUGUAGCCUUUAUGUUUCAUCUGAGGUUAACUAGAAUAUUGUACAUUUUCAGAAUUUAGUAGAAAGAGGAAAGUGUUAGGACCUAUGAAAUUGUGCAUAAUUUGUUUUUUUUAUCUAACUUGAAGGGUAAUAGUCAAAACAAACACAGGUUAUAUGUUUUUUUAUGCUGUUUAAUGCACUGUCAAAAUUUCAUUGAAUUAGGACUCUCCCCCCCCCCCAAAAAAAAAAAAAAUUAUUUUACUCGUCCCUCCCCUAACACCCCUCCUUUAGAGUACAGACACUGUACUUGCCAUCUGCCAGUCUGGCCUGCCAGUUUCCCUGAAUCCUUUUGUAAAUGUUAGUUUGCUCAUGCUAUAACAGCAUGUUUGUCUCCAUUCACUCGUAUCAAAUAUGGUCACGAAUGCUUGCUGGAAGUCCAAGCCCCUUGCACACACAACUUCCUUUAUACUGUCCCUCUAUCCUUUCCUAGGGUAACUCGUACCUCGUUUUCCCUCCACUACAGAUUUAUAGACUGUAGAAGUCAGUUUUGUUUCAUUCUCUCAUGUCCAAACCAUGUCAACAACUCUUUUUGAGCCCUGUGGACAAGAGUUUUAGCAAUCCUGCACUUGCUGUUAAGUAACUUGCAAACUAUGAAUUGUUUGUAUUAUAUUCACACCACACGUGUGGGGGGGGGGUGGAGCACACGUUGGUCUGCAGAGGCUACGUGGCCAGUCUGGAUAGAACUUGUGUAACACAGGGAAUUUGAGUUGGGUGCGUACAGACCUUUGAUGUGGGGUUUUCAGACUACCGUGCAGUGCUAGCGGAUAUGGACUUUGAUGGAAUGAUACGGAUUUAUCCCGGUUAUUGGAAAGUGAAUGUGUGGCUUUUGGAUGGGGAGGGGGAUUGGUGCACUUUUCAGGAUUGGUGGAAGGAUCUUAGGGAAAUGUGGAGGGAAGGUGAAUGUUUGUUGGAAUGGUGGGAAAUUCACGCCAGACCUGGGAUAGAGAGUUAUUAUAGGAAUUGGGGUAAGGAGGAGGUGAGGUGGAGGUAUAGGUUACAAAAUGAUUUGGAGGGGCAACUGAACUAUUAUUAUUUUUGGGCGGAAGUAGUAGGUACGAAGACAUUGAACAUAUUUGCAAUGGACUUUCCGAAAUUCACAAGGAGCGUUUCAGUGCGGUAAGAAUCAGGGCGGGCAUGGAAGAGGUGCUAUGGGUUAUGUCCUGUGGAAAUUUUGGGUUAGACAACAGGCAACAUUCCUCUUGCGUUUGGAAGUAUGCACGGGUUUGGGUGGAUACCUGCCCGGUCAGUUACUCUUUAAUAUGGACAGCAUGAGAUUUUAUACUGAUGAUUGGUUUGAGGAAAAGCUCUGGUGGAGAGGAGCGGGGUCCAUGAGGAUGGUCUGAUGGGGGGGGGGGUUCAGAAAGGUUAUAUGUGAAAGGGAUUGGAGGGUACUAGAAGGCAGGAUUCGUGUGGAGUAGGUUGAGGAGGCGAUAUUUAGGACGAGUAGAGGGAAAUCACCAGGUAUAGAUGGCAUAUUGAAUGAAUUUUGUAGGAUGCAUUGGGGAAGCAUUAAGGAAUGGUUGGUUGAGGUAUUGAAUUACAUGCUCAGGGAGGGAAGCGGUCUGAGUGCAUAUAGGGCUAUAUCUCUUAUGUGCUCAGACAAAAAUAUUUGCAAAAGUCGUAGGUAACAGGAUGAGAAAAGUUAUGGAAUUAUUCAUAGGGGACAGGUGGGCAUACCAGGUAGGAGCAUGAGGGAAGGACAUUGGUGUGUUAGGGAGUUUUUGGGGGUGUCAAGGGGGGGGUGUCCUUGGGUUUUACUGGGAAAAUGUUUGAGUGUUGGCAUGUAUUUAUUAAGGCAGCGUUUUGGGGAGGGGAUAGUAUGAUGGGUUGACAGUUUGUAUGCCUCAGCAAUGGUACGAGUACAGGUGAAUGGUAAGUUAGGGCAGCCUGUACACGUAUGGAAUGUGGUUUGAGGCAAGGGGGGGGGGCUUUGUCUCAGCUGUUUUCUGCCUGUGUGCAAAAUCCAUUUUAUGAACUGGUGGAUGGUGGUUUUGGGUGUGGGGUACUGGGUAGUAACCGUGCAGCGAGUGUAGUGGACGGUAUCACGAUUUUGUUAAAAGAGGAGGAGGAAUUGCAGAUUGUGGGUAGGGGGAUUGUUGAGUUUUUUGGGGCAGUGACUGGUAUGUGCAUUAACAGGUUGAAAUCAAAAUUAUUUGAGGUGGGUACGUGGGUGUGGGGGGGGGGCGAAAGGUAUGGGUGGUCAGUCGUGGAGCAACUUAAAAUAUGUGGGAUCGUGUACAUGGCGGAAGAGAGGGAGGGUUGAAGGAUAAAUUUUGAAUUGGUGUUAAAAAGGGCUUUAGACCAUCUCUGAGGAUUAAGAGGUGGGGAUGUCUCCUUGCAACAGAGGGCAGUGGUGGUUAACUGUCUUGAUUACAAUAAGGUAUGGGGAGUGGGUAUACUCAUUACGGGACGUGGAUAUUGAGGAGUUGCAGAGAAGGGUCUUAGGUUAUGUUUGGGGUUACGGGAGAGCUUGGUUGAGUAGGGAGGUUUGUCAUGACACACGUACGUCUUGGGGGUUUAGGUCUCGGCAUUGGGGUCAAGGGCGAAGGCCCUAUGUGUAAAGCAGCGGUUCGUUAGGGAGGGCGGGGAGAGGGGAGUCCGAGUGGGUCGGGUAAUGGUAUAUAUAUAGUAUACGCAAAUGGUGGAGUGGCAGAGGAUUAAUAGAGUGCGAGGACAUGUUGCGUUUGUUGUUGAAGUUGAAAAAUGUUGAAAGGAUCAGGGCGUGGCAAAUGGUGUGGAUAUGUUGCCAUAGGGAAAUUGUGCAGGGGGUGUCUGUGUAUUUGUGUUGUAUAAUUGGGUGGAAAUAUGGGAGGGUUUUUUGUAAGCUCAAGUUGGCACCGAGGCUUUGCGAAUUAUUGUACAGAUUUAUCGUGGGAAUUUUAGCAUAAAAAUGGGUUUUAAGGAGGACGAGUUUGGUAAGGGAGGCAAAUUGUUUACGUUGCGGUGUAGAAGAAAUUUUUUUUUUUUUUUUUGUGAAACAUUGGAAGAGGUUUGUACGUGGUUGGGGAGGGUUUCAGUAUUUCUUAGUAGGGGAAGUAUCUCAACUGUACGGUGUCUUAACCUUGGAAGUUAGAGGAGUGUCAAGGGAGGUAAGAAGAGCAAUACUGUACGUGGUGACUGAUUUCCUACAUAUCUCAUGGGGUAUGAGGGAAACCGAGGGAGCAGUUAGAGUUAAGGUGGUUGUAGUGGGUAUUUAUAGAACAUGUUGUAGGAAUAGACUUCUUUAUGGUGGGAGGUGGGGUACUGUUUUCCCUGCAAGCUAUAGGAGUCUUACAGUACAGCGGUUACUGCAACUGAGGCGGGUAAGGCAGCGAGGGGUUGGACUCGUCCCUUGGUAAUACCCUGAGGUAUGUUAGGAACGUUAAGGUGAAAGGCGGGAGUUAAUAAGUUGCAUGUUUUGUAGUUAUGGUAAGUUAGUUACGUGCGCUUGAGAGUGUAUAGAUGUGAUGGCGUUGUGCGACUGAGAUGUUGAUUUGUUUUAAGUGUGGUUAUUACAUCUGAGCAAGACAGAAAACAAUAUUUUGGCAUAUGGUUUUUCUUUUGUGAAACUGGAGUAGUUCCUGACCAUGGUCGGGAUUGUAACUCUUAUUUUUGUGAUGUGGUGAAGUCUGUUGGAUCUUUCCUGGGGUCUUAAGAACAUAAGAAAGAAGGAACACUGCAACAGGCCUACUGACCCAUGCGGAGCAGGUCCAUGUCCCCCCCCAGAUUAGCCCAAUGACCCACCCAGUCUGGUCACCUCCACUCAAGGAAGGAGCACGGUACCAGACCCAGCAGCACAAGCUAGUCAGGUCCAACUCACACUCACCCACACCCACUCAUGUAUUUAUCUAACCUAUUUUUAAAACUAUACAACGUUUUAGCCUCAACAACUGUACUCGGGAGUUUGUUCCACUCAUCCACAAGUGCUUUCCUAUAUCCUUCCUGAAUCUGAAUUUUUCCAACUUGAAACCAUUGCUGUGAGUCCUGUCUUGGCUGGAAAUUUUCAGCACGCUACUUACAUCCCCUUUAUUUAUUCCUGUUUUCCAUUUAUACACCUCGAUCAUAUCCCCCCUAAUUCUAUGCCUUUCUAGAGAGUGCAGAUUCAGGGCCCUCAUUCUAUCCUCAUAGGGAAGAUUUCUGAUACAUGGGAUCAUCUUUGUCAUCCUCCUCUGUACGUUUUUCAGAGCAUUUGUAUCCAUUCUGUAAUACGGUGACCAGAACUGAGCAGCAUAGUCUAAAUGAGGCCUAACCAAGGAUAUAAAGAGUUGAAGAAAAACCUGAGGACUUCUAUUAUUUAUGCUUCUAGAUAUGAAGCAAAGAAUUCUGUUAGCUUUAUUGCGAACACUAAUGCACUGUUGUCUUGGUUUUAGAUUACUGCUAACCAGAACUCCUAAAUCCUUUUCGCAAACAGUAGUAUUAAGAUCUACAUUAUUUAGUUUAUAUGUGGCAUGGUUAUUUAACUGUCCAACAUUUAUAACUUUGCAUUUGUCAAUAUUAAACUGCAUCUGCCACUUCUCCGACCAUUGCAUCCUGGAGUGCUCUAGUGUCCUCAUUAGAAUGAAUUGGACGGCCUAUUUUGGUGUCAUCAGCAAAUUUGCUUAUGUCGCUAUUUAUUCCCUCAUCUAUGUCGUUUAUGUAAAUUGUGAACAACAACGGGCCCGACACUGACCCUGAGGAACACCGCUUUUGACGUGCCUCCAUUCUGAUUUCUCCCCAUUUAUGCUGCCUAUUUGUCAGCCAUGCCUCUACCCAGGAAAUGAAUGUUCUGUAUUAGAGGGAUGAAUCAACCGGAGUGUCAAGAAUGUCCACCACAUGCACUCGGCGCACCUGACAUCUUACUCCACCCUCAGCUUACACACGGCGGGUCCGGGAUGGAUCCCCGGCAUGGGGAAAUAUGCUGACCUUCUUCCCCUAGCAGCAAGUCUACAGUUUUGCCUGCCUUGAAGGGGGCCAUUAGUGUACAGCAAUAUUCCAGCCUAGAGAGAACAAGUGAUUUGAAGAGAAUCAUCAUGGACUUUGCAUCCCUAGUUUUGAAGGUUUUAAAGGUGAAUGAGAGUUGUUUGAGUCCCCGAGUAGAGACUUGUUUUCUUGAAGUAAAAUAUAAGUAUUAUCUUGCAGAUUUGGAGGAAAGAAGUGAUGGCGCCUGGAACAAUGAUUUAAUAUUCCUGUGGAAAUUUGAGGGUCUGCAUUGAUGGCAGCAGCAACCUUGAGAAUGGCAGGCGAGUACUGUCACUCAGUUUAUGUAAUUCUUGUAUAAACUGCCAUUGAUGGCAGCAGCAACCUUGAGAAUGGCAGGCGAG